ACCACAUUUGUUAAGUUUCAACCUUAUUUCUUGCUGAAACUAACUAAUAACCUUGAUUCAGGGUACAAGUUGAUGACGAGGAUUUAUGUGACGGGCCUGAUGAAUCAGAAUAUGAUACUGAUGAUUCUAAUGCUGAAAACAACCCGCUCAAUGAUUAUCCGGAAGAGAUAUCUGAAGAGGAAUCAGAGAGUGACACCUCCGAUGAUGAAUCAGAAGAAAAUGAGAGUUCCAGUGAAAAAUCUUCAGAACCGAAGGGUUUAGAAGACAAUGACUUUUUAGAAGAUGAUAUGUAUGAUGAGAAUGAUCAUGGUGAUGACUUUGAUUAUGAUGUUGAUCAAAGUGAUGAUGGCGAAGAUCGGAGAUGGUCUUAUAGGUGAACUUUGGCUUUUCUGUAUCUGCUUUCAUCUUUGUAGUUUUUGCUCCUGAACAAGUAAAUCGUUGUAAAAGUCAAUGAUGAAUUAGUGGUUGCUUGGAUAUGUGAAUAUGAACUUCUUGUACAUCCUUGUGCUUUUAACAUCCUGGAUGGAUCCAAUAGCAGGGCAGUAGAAAUAAUUUUUUC